GAUGAACGCUGGCGGCGUGCCUAAUACAUGCAAGUCGAGCGAACAGACGAGGAGCUUGCUCCUCUGACGUUAGCGGCGGACGGGUGAGUAACGCGUGGAUAACCUACCUAUAAGACUGGGAUAACUUCGGGAAACCGGAGCUAAUACCGGAUAAUAUAUUGAACCGCAUGGUUCAAUAGUGAAAGACGGUUUUGCUGUCACUUAUAGAUGGAUCCGCGCCGCAUUAGCUAGUUGGUAAGGUAACGGCUUACCAAGGCAACGAUGCGUAGCCGACCUGAGAGGGUGAUCGGCCACACUGGAACUGAGACACGGUCCAGACUCCUACGGGAGGCAGCAGUAGGGAAUCGUCCGCAAUGGGCGAAAGCCUGACGGAGCAACGCCGCGUGAGUGAUGAAGGUCUUCGGAUCGUAAAACUCUGUUAUUAGGGAAGAACAAAUGUGUAAGUAACUAUGCACGUCUUGACGGUACCUAAUCAGAAGGCCACGGCUAACUACG
rnacentral:rRNA from 1 species